rnacentral:rRNA from 1 species
CCAGACUCCUACGGGAGGCAGCAGUGGGGGAUAUUGGACAAUGGGGGAAACCCUGAUCCAGCGACGCCGCGUGAGUGAAGAAGUAUUUCGGUAUGUAAAGCUCUAUCAGCAGGGAAGAAGAUGACGGUACCUGACUAAGAAGCCCCGGCUAACUACGUGCCAGCAGCCGCGGUAAUACGUAGGGGGCAAGCGUUAUCCGGAUUUACUGGGUGUAAAGGGAGCGUAGACGGCGGCGCAAGCCAGAUGUGAAAGCCCGGGGCUCAACUCCGGGACUGCUUUGGAAACUGUAUGGCUGGAGUGCAGGAGAGGUAAGUGGAAUUCCUAGUGUAGCGGUGAAAUGCGUAGAUAUUAGGAGGAACACCAGUGGCGAAGGCGGCUUACUGGACUGUAACUGACGUUGAGGCUCGAAAGCGUGGGGAGCAAACAGGAUUAGAUACCCCUGUACG